ACGCUCGACACCUACGGGGGGCAGCGGUGGGGAAUAUUGGGCAAUGGGCGAAAGCCUGACCCAGCAACGCCGCGUGAGGGAAGAAGGUUUUCGGAUUGUAAACCUCUGUCCUCAGGGACGAAGGACGUGACGGUACCUGAGGAGGAAGCCCCGGCUAACUACGUACCAGCAGCCGCGGUAAUCUGAGCGGGCUGGCAAGGC
rnacentral:rRNA from 1 species